AGACCUUUAGUUUGAACCCCGAAACCAGGUGAGCUACCCCGAGACAGCCUAUAUUGAUUUAGGGCUAACCCGUCUCUGUGGCAAAAGAGUGGGAAGAGCUCCGGGUAGAAGUGACAGACCUACCGAACCUGGUGAUAGCUGGUUGCCUGAGAAGUGGAUAGAAGUUCAGCCUCGCACACCCCAAGCCAGAGAAUACACCGCUAAGGCACUCAGGGAAAUGUGGGAGAGUUAGUUAAAGGGGGUACAGCCCCUUUAACAAAGGAUACAACCUUUGCAGGAGGAUAAAGAUCAUAAUAAAUAAAACAUGCUGCUCUAGUGGGCCUAAAGGCAGCCACCUAAACAGAAAGCGUUAAAGCUCAGGCAGAAAGAAGUUUAUUAUACCGAUAAAAAAUCUUACUCCCCUAAUUAUAUCAGGCCAACCCAUGCCAACAUGGAAGAGAUUAUGCUAAAAUGAGUAACAAGAAGACCUGCUCUUCUCCCAGCACAAGUGUAAGCCAGAUCGGACUAACCACUGGAACUUAACGAACCCAACCCAAGAGGGUAGUGUGAAUAGUACAGACCCCAAGAAGAACUCACAACUAAACAAUCGUUAACCCCACACUGGAGUGCUAUUAUAAAGGAAAGACUAAAAGAGGGGGAAGGAACUCGGCAAACACAAGCCUCGCCUGUUUACCAAAAACAUCGCCUCCUGCAACUAUAUUGAGUAUAGGAGGUCCAGCCUGCCCAGUGACUACGGGUUCAACGGCCGCGGUAUUUUGACCGUGCAAAGGUAGCGCAAUCACUUGUCUCUUAAAUAGAGACCUGUAUGAAUGGCUAGACGAGGGCUUAACUGUCUCCCCCCUCCAGUCAGUGAAAUUGAUCUAUCCGUGCAGAAGCGGGUAUAAUUAUACAAGACGAGAAGACCCUUUGGAGCUUAAGGUACAAAAUCCAACCACGUUAAACGACCCCCUAAAGGGCAAGAACUUAGUGGCCAAUGAAGUUUUACCUUCGGUUGGGGCGACCACGGAGGAGAAAAAAGCCUCCGAGUGGACUGGGUUAAAACCCAAAGCUAAGAGAUACAUCUCUAAGCCGCAGAACAUCUGACCAAAAGUGAUCCGGCUAAAAAGCCGAUCAACGAACCAAGUUACCCUAGGGAUAACAGCGCAAUCCUCUCCCAGAGUCCAUAUCGACGAGGGGGUUUACGACCUCGAUGUUGGAUCAGGACAUCCUAAUGGUGCAGCCGCUAUUAAGGGU
rnacentral:rRNA from 1 species